UGAUGUAGCGGUUAACAGUUAUGGCUGCUAAUCAAAAGGUUGGUGGUUCAAAUCCACC
rnacentral:tRNA from 1 species